UACGGAGGAUGCGAGCGUUAUCCGGAUUUAUUGGGUUUAAAGGGUGCGUAGGCGGAACAUUAAGUCAGCGGUAAAAUCGAGGGGCUCAACCCCUUUAAGCCGUUGAAACUGGGGGCCUUGAGUGCGGCGGAGGCAUGCGGAAUGCGCGGUGUAGCGGUGAAAUGCAUAGAUAUCGCGCAGAACCCCGAUUGCGAAGGCAGCGUGCCGUGCCGCCACUGACGCUGAGGCACGAAAGCGCGGGGAUCGAACAGG
rnacentral:rRNA from 1 species